GUCUCGGUCCGGACUGACUACCCACGCGUCCAAUCAGAGGCAUGCCGUCUUGUCCCCAGCGUUCCAAAACAGAGCUCAACGCGGCCAAUCUCCCAAAGGCCACGCCCCCCCCUUAACGGGCAUUCCCUGACCUAGGCGAAGCAUCCCGCGGACGACGCGGAGGCGUGUCUUUGAUCUUAAAGGCACAGCGCUCAAUUGCCGGCCCAAAAGACCGAGGAAGCCGGUAGGGAUUCGGCCUUGGAAUUCAUCCGCUCCUCACGCGGCGGAAGUGGUCAUUGUGAUGAGCACACGUUUGUGACGUCACCGGGUUGGCACCAAGCACACGUCCCUAGGGAUCCCAAACCCGUAUUCAAAGAGAUCCUGGGCCUCGGGGAGCCAGUACAGGGGAUUUAUCGAAGAUUGCUGGGCUCUAGGUCCCUGAACGGAACUGGUUCUUUAAACAUCCAGAGUCGCAGGGCCCGUUUCCCUUUUCGCCUGUACAUAUCAAAAGUAAGUGGGGUUGGAGGGUGCCCAUUUGGGAAUUUGAACUGGAGUUUUAAUUUGAGGUCUUCACCACCUUGUGAAGGUGGGAAGGUCACCAAGAGUGGAAAAAGCCCUCUCUGCAGAAUUGGGGAACCCGCGUUCAAAU
rnacentral:lncRNA from 1 species